GUAGUACUUCAGCAACACACAAACUGAAAGUAUAAAGACACAGAGAUUGGCAUGGCUCCUGCACAAGGAUGACAUGCAAAUUCAUGAAGCAUUCCAUAUUUUA
rnacentral:snRNA from 1 species